GGGGAUAACUCCGGGAAACCGGGGCUAAUACCGGAUACGACCAUUCCCCGCAUGGGGUGGUGGUGGAAAGUUUUUCGGCUGGGGAUGGGCCCGCGGCCUAUCAGCUUGUUGGUGGGGUGAUGGCCUACCAAGGCGUCGACGGGUAGCCGGCCUGAGAGGGCGACCGGCCACACUGGGACUGAGACACGGCCCAGACUCCUACGGGAGGCAGCAGUGGGGAAUAUUGCGCAAUGGGCGAAAGCCUGACGCAGCGACGCCGCGUGAGGGAUGACGGCCUUCGGGUUGUAAACCUCUUUCAGCUCCGACGAAUUCAGACGGUAGGAGCAGAAGAAGCACCGGCCAACUACGUG
rnacentral:rRNA from 1 species